AUUGAGUCUGUUCGGGGUAACUAGAACUCUCGGUGUAGGGGUGAAAUCCGUAGAUAUCGAGAGGAAUGCCAAUCGCGAAAGCAGGUUACUAGGACAGCACUGACGCUCAGGGACGAAAGCUAGGGUAGCAAAAGGGAUUAGAGACCCCUGUAGUCCUAGCCGUAAACGAUGCUCGCUAGCUGGUCGCUCUUUUAGAGUGACUGGCGUAAGCUAACGCGUUAAGCGGGCCGCCUGGGAAUUACGAUCGCAAGAUUAAAACUCAAAGGAAUUGGCGGGGGAGCGUACAACCGGUGGAGCAUGUGGUUUAAUUCGAUACAAAGCGAACAACCUUACCUAGAUUUGACAUGUACCUGCAAAACUUGGGAUAACCAAGUCGCCUUCGAGGGUGGUACACAGGUGAUGCAUGGCUGUCGUCAGCUCGUGUCGUGAGACGUCCGCUUAAGUGCGGUAACGAGCGCAACCCUUGUUGUCAGUUAUAUGUAUCUGACAAGACUGCCCUUGCCAAGCAAGGGAGGAAGGAGAGGACGACGUCAAGUCAGUAUGUUCCUUAUAUCUAGGGCAACACACAUCCUACAAUGGGGUCGACAACGGGUAGCGACAGGGUAACCUUGAGCCAAUCCUUAUAAGCGACCUCUCAGUUCGGAUUGAGGGCUGAACUCGCCCUCAUGAAGAUGGAAUCGGUAGUAAUCGCGUAUCAUUAGGGUGCGGUGAAUACGUUCUCGCUCCUUGCACACACUGCCCGUCAAGCCAGCAAAGUCAGCAGCGCCCGAAGCGGGAGACCAUAAC
rnacentral:rRNA from 1 species